UCUAUUGAGGACUUCGGAACGAAGCCUGUGAGAACCCAGCUCUGGCCGAUUGCACAAUUUCUCCCCUAGGUGGCGGCAGCGCACAAGCUGUGCAAGGGCAAGCCUCUGACCCCUGGAAACCAGAGCCUGGAAAGUGAAGAGAACUCAACCGGGAAGUGAGGGCACAACUGCUUCCUAAACAGGCAGCCAGCCCACGAUAGCUGGAGGCGUGUUGGGUCUCUGAGGAGAGCGCUGGAUGACUCCGAGAGUUUGGAGCGUUAUGUGUUAAUACCAAGUGACGUGGAGAAUUAACAAGAGCCGCUAAAAAAGUUGACUACUAGGGACCAAAGCCUCAAGUCCCCCCCGGGGCCAGGAGUCCAACAACUGCAUUUCUCAGACUCCCCUGCGAGCUGUUUACCGGGGAAGCCCUGUCAGCAGGAGGCACCAGUGGGAAACCAGAAGAGGAGCCUCUCCUUGUGUGUGGCACUGGAAGCAGCAGCCGGAGCUGGUGAUAACGGGUUCCAACAACGUCACUGCGGUCAAAGCAGCGACAAAGUUCCAGAAACCACAGCAGCAGCUCCAGCCCAGGUAGCAGAUUCCUGAUCUCUGGACGAUCCCCGUCCUCAUCCCAUUUUUACCUUCUCCAGUUUGGCCAACACGUUUGUAACCGA